CCCACUGGUGGGAUUCUUUCACACAACACUUAUCCCCCAGCAGGCUGAACCACCUGCAGUAACUCCCGAUAAAGAACACCUGAAGUGCUCAGCAGCUUGCCCUGAUGCAAGGGGAAGGUCGCUGUUCUGACCGACUGCAGUCUCAGCUGUGCUGACACCAAUUCACAAAUAGGGAUGUUUACCCAGAAAACAGCCCUCCAGUAUUUCAGAAUUAACCACUUUACCUCUUCACAUGGCCAGGUGGAAUCUGAUGGCUGGGGAGGUGUUAAGGGGUGCUCCUUUCCUGGAAGCCCUCACCCUGCGAUACGGCAUCCGUGAUCACUGUGACAUCGGAACUUCCAUGGCAACCAGCAGUGAAGUCACUGGGAAAGAAAUUUCAUUGAAAAGGGGAAAAUUUUUCUACUGGAAGAACAAAUGUUGGAACUGUUUAAGAAUCAUAUGAGUGAUGCAAUUAAAUGUAUGUGAGAACAAGCUAAUCCACAUCUUCUGUGGAUUCAAAACAAAAUCUGAAAGGACAAAAAGAAAUAUUGUACUGCGGACAAAGGCCCAAAAUAGCACAAUGAAUCAGUCCCAAGUGUGUUCCAGAGGCUGUGGUGGAUCACCAAGAUCACCCACGUGGCUGGGAAGGGCACAGUACAGCUGAGAUGCAGGACACCGCAAAAAAA